UACGAAGGGGGCUAGCGUUGUUCGGAUUUACUGGGCGUAAAGCGCACGUAGGCGGAUUGUUAAGUCAGGGGUGAAAUCCUGGAGCUCAACUCCAGAACUGCCUCUGAUACUGGCAAUCUCGAGUCCGGAAGAGGUGAGUGGAACUGCGAGUGUAGAGGUGAAAUUCGUAGAUAUUCGCAAGAACACCAGUGGCGAAGGCGGCUCACUGGCCCGGUACUGACGCUGAGGUGCGAAAGCGUGGGGAGCAAACAGG
rnacentral:rRNA from 1 species